GAGGAAAGAAUCUCAUCGAGGGACAGAGCUGAAAGGGCCCUAGUGGCUGUUCAACCCUUCAUUUUACAGUUGGAAUUGAGAUCCAGAGAGAAACCCGAGGUCUGACAAGGCAAGUCUGUAUUUAUCUGGUACCCUAUGGGGCAUCUCAAUCAACCGAUACGUUAGUCAUAUCCACAUAUUCACCCAAGAAAGAGAUGAAAAUUUUAUGAACAGAUUUAUCAUCUCCAAGUAUUCCUACCUGAGUAUCCAUGAUGGUGUUGGUCAUUUUCCCACGUGCAACCUGAUAGACUGUAAAACAUUUUAUUCUGGAAGCAACAUUUGGGUCGUUGAAAUGAUACAAACAAACAAACAAAAAACCCCAAACCAAAAAACUGUACUUUGCAAUAGCAAUAAAAGAAGAAAAAGAAAUACAAAAAAACGAAUAGGAAACAAGGUCAUAAAACGAUCUCUUUUUGCAGAUGAUAUGAUGAUAUACUUGGAAAAACCCAAAGACUCAACUAAAAAGUUAGUUGAAAUAAUAUUAGUGAAGUAGCAGGAUAUAAAGUAAAUCCACAAGACUCAUCAGCAUUCCUAGAUGUCACAAAUAAAAUUCUGCAAGGAUAGGAAAAGAUACCCUGAUUUAAAAUAACUCUAGAUAGUAUGAAAUACCUGAAAGUACAUCUGCUAAAAAAAAAAAAAAGAAGAAGAAGAAGAAAAGAAAACGAAAAAGAAAUGAUUAUAGAUAACCAAUAUCUUGGGGAGAUUCAGAGACUCUCCUCUUCCACUAAGUUCCUGAUUUGAAAAAGUUCAGGCAUUUGAAGGACACUACUGCUAAGGAAAUUACAUUAACUCUCCUCUGCUUGGUCCAACCUCAGACAAUCUUACAAGGAAAUUAAUCUAAGAUGGAGAAACCCAUUUUGUUCUGCUCAAGCGUGGGUGGAGACAGAUCCUUUUAUCUAAAUACCCCAACGUUGAGAUUGACCUGAAAUAAUUUGGAUGUCCCAAAGUGACACGAUGUCUCCCAUAGCCCCUCUUUGAACUACCUACUCUUUGGGAAGGGUCUAUAAACUGUCAUAAUUGUCUUUGGUCUAAGAGAGAUGGCCAAAUGAUCAUUCUUUUAUUAUUAACCUACUGGCCUUAUUAAUAAAAUAACUAAGUUAUCCAGAAA